GAUGAGCAUGCGUCCCAUUAGCUAGUUGGUAAGGUAACGGCUUACCAAGGCUACGAUGGGUAGGGGUCCUGAGAGGGAGAUCCCCCACACUGGUACUGAGACACGGACCAGACUCCUACGGGAGGCAGCAGUGAGGAAUAUUGGACAAUGGGCGCAAGCCUGAUCCAGCCAUGCCGCGUGCAGGAUGACGGUCCUAUGGAUUGUAAACUGCUUUUAUACGAGAAGAAACACUCCAACGUGUUGGAGCUUGACGGUAUCGUAAGAAUAAGGAUCGGCUAACUCCGUGCCAGCAGCCGCGGUAAUACGGAGGAUCCAAGCGUUAUCCGGAAUCAUUGGGUUUAAAGGGUCCGUAGGCGGUUUAGUAAGUCAGUGGUGAAAGCCCAUCGCUCAACGGUGGAACGGCCAUUGAUACUGCUAAACUUGAAUUAUUAGGAAGUAACUAGAAUAUGUAGUGUAGCGGUGAAAUGCUUAGAGAUUACAUGGAAUACCAAUUGC
rnacentral:rRNA from 1 species